GGGCAGCGAAGCCGUGAGGCGGAGCCAAUCCCNGAAAACCGAUCGUAGUCCGGAUUGCAGUCUGCAACUCGACUGCAUGAAGUCGGAAUCGCUAGUAAUCGCGGAUCAGCAUGCCGCGGUGAAUACGUUCCCGGGUCUUGUACACACCGCCCGUCAAACAAUGGGAGUGGUGUUUACCAGAAGUCGUUAGCCUAACCGCAAGGAGGGCGGCGACCACGGUGAGCACCGUGACUAAUGUUAAGUCGUAACAAGGUAUC
rnacentral:rRNA from 1 species